rnacentral:rRNA from 1 species
UACGGAGGAUGCGAGCGUUAUCCGGAUUUAUUGGGUUUAAAGGGUGCGUAGGCGGGCUGUUAAGUCAGCGGUAAAAGCCCGGGGCUCAACCCCGGCGAGCCGUUGAAACUGGCUGUCUUGAGAUGUCGAGGGGUAUGCGGAAUGCGCAGUGUAGCGGUGAAAUGCUUAGAUAUUGCGCAGAACUCCGAUUGCGAAGGCAGCAUACCGGCGGCGAUCUGACGCUGAGGCACGAAAGCGUGGGUAUCGAACAGG